rnacentral:rRNA from 1 species
UACGUAGGGCGCAAGCGUUGUCCGGAAUUAUUGGGCAUAAAGAGCUCGUAGGCGGCUUGUCACGUCGGUUGUGAAAGCCCGGGGCUUAACCCCGGGUCUGCAGUCGAUACGGGCAGGCUAGAGUGUGGUAGGGGAGAUCGGAAUUCCUGGUGUAGCGGUGAAAUGCGCAGAUAUCAGGAGGAACACCGGUGGCGAAGGCGGAUCUCUGGGCCAUUACUGACGCUGAGGAGCGAAAGCGUGGGGAGCAAACAGG